UUUAUACUCCCUCCGUCCCAUAUUAAGUGAUUUUCUAUUACAUAUAUCUAGACGCUUUUUAGGCAUAGAUACAUUCAUAUUUGGGCAAAUUUGAGUCACUUAAUAUGGGACAGAGGGAGUAGCAU
rnacentral:pre_miRNA from 1 species